AGCUACAGGCUUAACACAUGCAAGUCGAGGGGCAGCAUUUUAGUUUGCUUGCAAACUGAAGAUGGCGACCGGCGCACGGGUGAGUAACACGUAUCCAACCUGCCGAUAACUCCGGAAUAGCCUUUCGAAAGAAAGAUUAAUACCGGAUAGUAUACGAAUAUCGCAUGAUAUUUUUAUUAAAGAAUUUCGGUUAUCGAUGGGGAUGCGUUCCAUUAGUUUGUUGGCGGGGUAACGGCCCACCAAGACUACGAUGGAUAGGGGUUCUGAGAGGAAGGUCCCCCACAUUGGAACUGAGACACGGUCCAAACUCCUACGGGAGGCAGCAGUGAGGAAUAUUGGUCAAUGGGCGAGAGCCUGAACCAGCCAAGUAGCGUGAAGGAUGAAGGCUCUAUGGGUCGUAAACUUCUUUUAUAUGGGAAUAAAGUUUUCCACGUGUGGAAUUUUGUAUGUACCAUAUGAAUAAGGAUCGGCUAACUCCGUGCCAGCAGCCGCGGUAAUACGGAGGAUCCGAGCGUUAUCCGGAUUUAUUGGGUUUAAAGGGAGCGUAGGUGGAUUGUUAAGUCAGUUGUGAAAGUUUGCGGCUCAACCGUAAAAUUGCAGUUGAAACUGGGAGUCUUGAGUACAGUAGAGGUGGGCGGAAUUCGUGGUGUAGCGGUGAAAUGCUUAGAUAUCACGAAGAACUCCGAUUGCGAAGGCAGCUCACUAGACUGUCACUGACACUGAUGCUCGAAAGUGUGGGUAUCAAACAGGAUUAGAUACCCUGGUAGUCCACACAGUAAACGAUGAAUACUCGCUGUUUGCGAUAUACAGUAAGCGGCCAAGCGAAAGCAUUAAGUAUUCCACCUGGGGAGUACGCCGGCAACAGUGAAACUCAAAGGAAUUGACGGGGGCCCGCACAAGCGGAGGAACAUGUGGUUUAAUUCGAUGAUACGCGAGGAACCUUACCCGGGCUUAAAUUGCAACAGAAUAUAUUGGAAACAGUAUAGCCGUAAGGCUGUUGUGAAGGUGCUGCAUGGUUGUCGUCAGCUCGUGCCGUGAGGUGUCGGCUUAAGUGCCAUAACGAGCGCAACCCUUAUCUUUAGUUACUAACAGGUCAUGCUGAGGACUCUAGAGAGACUGCCGUCGUAAGAUGUGAGGAAGGUGGGGAUGACGUCAAAUCAGCACGGCCCUUACGUCCGGGGCUACACACGUGUUACAAUGGGGGGUACAGAAGGCGGCUACCUGGUGACAGGAUGCUAAUCCCAAAAACCUCUCUCAGUUCGGAUCGAAGUCUGCAACCCGACUUCGUGAAGCUGGAUUCGCUAGUAAUCGCGCAUCAGCCAUGGCGCGGUGAAUACGUUCCCGGGCCUUGUACACACCGCCCGUCAAGCCGUGAAAGCCGGGGGUACCUGAAGUACGUAACCGCAAGGAGCGUCCUAGGGUAAAACUGGUAAUUGGGGCUAAGUCAUAACA
rnacentral:rRNA from 1 species